AUAACCCAUAUUGGGAUUGGCAGCCAGCAGUCUCUGGUCAGGAGGAAGGGCCUUUUCGGCAGCAGCCUGCUCUCGGGCAUGGCCUCCCAUGGUUACCCACAGAAGAACGUGCGUGACUUCCUGGGACAGUAUCUGCGUCAGACCCGCCGAGUGAGCGCGCAUGUUGCAGAUGGUAGUGUCCACAGAGGAAAACUGGUUUCGCGGGGCACAGCAGGCAGGCCAACCGAAGAUGCCUCUAAGAGGCUGGUGGUCAGCCCGGCAUCGAUACUCUCAAAAGACGUUUGUAAUGUGAACCUGGACUACCUAAAUCGUUCCAUACCAAGUCCACGUGAAUACUUGGAUGAAUUUAGGCAGCGCUGUAUUCCUGAGGUAUCUUCCUGCAGAGAAGGUGGGAACCCAGAAGUCAACUCUGGCUGUCCACACACUUAGGAAUGUCAACAUCUAAAAUAUAAAGGAGGAAGGCAGAAGAAGAUUCAACUCUCAGUGAUUCUCUAAAAACAUCUGUUUAAUCUGUGGCUCCUGGCUUCCUCCCAGAAGUAACAACGGCCACCAAGGCACCAAGAACGAACAAAACAGCCACUCUGUGAAAAGCAUUUCCUUUCUCAUAAGAUGACAUGGACUGGGCCACCCAGACUACUCCAUGGCACUGGGCUAGCAGCUGCUGCUGAUGUUGCUAAGACCAAGGAUCGCCUUCCAACAUCAUUAACUAAUGAAGAAGACUACAAGAAACCUAAGAAAUAUCUCAGUGAACAAAUCCCGGUAACAGCUAAAGCAACUAAUUCAGCACACCUCUACCUACCACACUAAUAAAUGCAUUAGAA